rnacentral:tRNA from 13 species
UUGUGGCGUAACGGAUAACGCAUCGGACUUCUAUUAUUUGGAAUCCGGGGAUUACGGGUUCGAAUCCCGUCAA